rnacentral:rRNA from 1 species
GUGCCAGCCGCCGCGGUAAUACGGAGGAUCCAAGCGUUAUCCGGAAUCAUUGGGUUUAAAGGGUCCGUAGGCGGGUUUAUAAGUCAGUGGUGAAAGCCCAUCGCUCAACGAUGGAACGGCCAUUGAUACUGUAGAUCUUGAAUUAUUAGGAAGUAACUAGAAUAUGUAGUGUAGCGGUGAAAUGCUUAGAGAUUACAUGGAAUACCAAUUGCGAAGGCAGGUUACUACCAGUAUAUUGACGCUGAUGGACGAAAGCGUGGGGAGCGAACAGGAUUAGAUACCCGCGUAGUCC